rnacentral:rRNA from 1 species
CCUACGGGAGGCAGCAGUGGGGGAUAUUGCACAAUGGGGGGAACCCUGAUGCAGCGACGCCGCGUGGGUGAAGGAGUGCUUCGGCAUGUAAAGCCCUAUCGGCAGGGAAGAAGCAAGACGGUACCUGACUAAGAAGCCCCGGCUAACUACGUGCAAGCAGCGGAGGUAAAACGUAGGGGGCGAGCGUUGUCCGGAUUCACGGGGUGUAAAGGGAGCGUAGACGGCCAAGCAAGCCAGGGGUGAAAGCCCGGGGCCCAACCCCGGGACUGCGCUUGGAACUGCGUGGCUGGAGUGAGGGAGGGGCAGGCGGAAUUCCUGGUGUAGCGGUGAAAUGCGUAGAGAUCGGGAGGAACACCGGCGGCGAAGGCGGCCUGCUGGACCGCGACUGACGUUGAGGCUCGAAAGCGUGGGGAGCGAACAGGAUUAGAUACCCUGGUAGUC